GGGGCCUAAUACAUGCAAGUCGAACGCUUCCUACCGGUGCUUGCACCGGGAAAGAAGAGUGGCGGACGGGUGAGUAACACGUGGGUAACCUACCUACAAGCGGGGGAUAACAUUCGGAAACGGAUGCUAAUACCGCAUAGAUCUUUUUGUCUCCUGGCAGAAAGAAGAAAGACGGUUUCGGCUGUCACUUGUAGAUGGACCCGCGGCGCAUUAGUUAGUUGGUGAGGUAAUGGCUCACCAAGACGAUGAUGCGUAGCCGACCUGAGAGGGUGAUCGGCCACACUGGGACUGAGACACGGCCCAGACUCCUACGGGAGGCAGCAGUAGGGAAUCUUCCGCAAUGGACGAAAGUCUGACGGAGCAACGCCGCGUGAGUGAAGAAGGUUUUCGGAUCGUAAAACUCUGUUGUUAGAGAAGAACAAGGAUGAGAGUAACUGCUCGUCCCUUGACGGUAUCUAACCAGAAAGCCAUGGCUAACUACGUGCCAGCAGCCGCGGUAAUACGUAGAUGGCAAGCGUUGUCCGGAUUUAU
rnacentral:rRNA from 1 species